rnacentral:rRNA from 1 species
GACGAACGCUGGCGGCGUGCCUAAUACAUGCAAGUAGAACGCUGAAGAGAGGAGCUUGCUCUUCUUGGAUGAGUUGCGAACGGGUGAGUAACGCGUAGGUAACCUGCCUUGUAGCGGGGGAUAACUAUUGGAAACGAUAGCUAAUACCGCAUAACAAUGGAUGACACAUGUCAUUUAUUUGAAAGGGGCAAUUGUUCCACUACAAGAUGGACCUGCGUUGUAUUAGCUAGUAGGUGAGGUAAUAGCUCACCUAGGCGACGAUACAUAGCCGACCUGAGAGGGUGAUCGGCCACACUGGGACUGAGACACGGCCCAGACUCCUACGGGAGGCAGCAGUAGGGAAUCUUCGGCAAUGGGGGCAACCCUGACCGAGCAACGCCGCGUGAGUGAAGAAGGUUUUCGGAUCGUAAAGCUCUGUUGUAAGUCAAGAACGGGUGUGAGAGUGGAAAGUUCACACUGUGACGGUAGCUUACCAGAAAGGGACGGCUAACUACGUG